rnacentral:rRNA from 1 species
GACGAACCGUGCGAACGUUAUUCGGAAUCACUGGGCGUAAAGCGCACGUAGGCGGAUUGUUAAGUCAGGGGUGAAAUCCUGGAGCUCAACUCCAGAACUGCCUUUGAUACUGGCGAUCUCGAGUCCGGGAGAGGUGAGUGGAACUGCGAGUGUAGAGGUGAAAUUCGUAGAUAUUCGCAAGAACACCAGUGGCGAAGGCGGCUCACUGGCCCGGUACUGACGCUGAGGUGCGAAAGCGUGGGGAGCAACAGG